rnacentral:rRNA from 1 species
AUCGAACGCUGGCGGCAGGCCUAACACAUGCAAGUCGAACGCAUCCUUCGGGGUGAGUGGCGCACGGGUGAGUAACACGUGGGAAUGUAUCCUUUGGUUCGGAAUAACGUUUGGAAACGAACGCUAAUACCGGAUGAGCCCCCCUGUUUGACGAUGGGGUGGGGAAAGAUUUAUCGGCAAAGGAGCAGCCCGCGUCUGAUUAGGUAGUUGUUGGGGUAAUGGCCGACCAAGCCGACGAUCAGUAGCUGGUCUGAGAGGAUGAUCAGCCACACUGGGACUGAGACACGGCCCAGACUCCUACGGGAGGCAGCAGUGGGGAAUAUUGGACAAUGGGCGCAAGCCUGAUCCAGCCAUGCCGCGUGAGUGAUGAAGGCCUUCGGGUUGUAAAGCUCUUUCGCACACGACGAUGAUGACGGUAGUGUGAGAAGAAGCCCCGGCUAACUUCGUGCCAGCAGCCGCGGUAACAC